AACUGAUACUACCUGCGGGAACCUGCGGAAGGAUCAUUACCGAGUUUACAAAACUCCCAAACCCUUUGUGAACCUUACCUAUCGUUGCUUCGGCGGGACCGCCCCGGCGCCCUCGCGGCCCGGAACCAGGCGCCCGCCGGAGGCCCCAAACCCUCAUGUCUUUAGUGGUUUCCUCCUCUGAGUGACAUAAACAAAUAAAGUAAAAACUUUUAACAAUGGAUCUCUAGAUCGGAAGAGCAC
rnacentral:misc_RNA from 1 species